GCAACCCCAGGUCAGGCAAGCUACCCGCUGAGUUUAAGCAAAUCAAUAAGCGGAGGAAAAGAAAUUAACAAGGAUUUUCCUAUUAACAGCAAGCGAACCAGAAGCAGCCCAGGUUGAGAAUCGAAUGCCCUCAGCAUUUGAAUUGUAGUCUAAAGAAGCGUCCUCAGCGAUGGAUCAGGCUCAAGUCCCCUAGAAGGGGGCGCCGAAGAAGGUGAGGGCCUCGUCGUGUCCAGACACCGUCGCACCAUAAGGCACUGUCGAUGAGUCGGGUUGUUUGGGAAUGCAGCCCAAAUUGGGCAGUAAAUUCCAUCCAAGGCUAAAUAUGGGCGAGAGAUCGAUAGCGAACAAGCACCGAGAGGGAAAGAUGAAAAGGAAUUUGAAAAGAGAGUCAAAGAAUGUUUGAAAUUGUUGGGAGGGAAAUGGAUGGGAGCCGAUGAUGCGCCUCGAUCGAAUGAGAAACAGUGAGAGCCAAUCGACUCAGGAACUGACCGAUGCGGAUUGCUGCAGUGGCCCAAGCCCAGGAGACAUCGUUGCCACAAUCAUGGUGGGCAACGCACCCCGUCAUGGUGUGCUUCAGCACCUAUGCACUCUUAGCAUCUGCUUGCGGGCUCCCCAUUUGGCCCGUCAUGAAACACGGACCAAAGAGUCUGAAAUGUGUGCGAGUCAACAAGCCAGUAAACUCGUAAGGCGCAAGGAAGCUGAAUGGCAGGAUCCCCAUGUGGGUUGCACCACCGACCAACCUUGAUCUUCUGAGAAGGGUUCAAGUGAGAGCAAGCUUGUCAGGACCCAAAAAAUGGUGAACUAUGCCUGAGCGAGGCGAAGCCAGAGGAAACUCUGGUGGAGGCCCGCAGCGAUACUGGACUUGGGUAUAGGGGCGAAAGACUAAUCGAACCAUCUAGUAGCUGGUUCCCUUCGAAGUUUCCCUCAAGAUAGCUGGAGCCUACAAAUGAGUUCUAUUUGGUAAAGCUAAUGAUUUAAGGCAUCAGGGACAUAAUUCCCUCAACCUAGUCUUAAACUUUAAAUAGGUAGGACGAUGUGGCUGCUCCGUUGAGCCGCACCAUGGAAUCGAGAACACCAAGUGGGCCAAUUUUGGUAAGCAGAACUGGCGAUGUAGGAUGAACCGGAAGCCGAGUUACAAUGCUCAAUUGUCCGCUAACCUAGCACCCAUAAAGGGUGUUGGUCGAUUAAGAUAGCAAAAGGGUGGUCAUGGAAGUCAACUGCUAAGGAGUGUGUAACAAUUCACCUGCCAAAUCAACUAGCCCUGAAAAUGGAUGUCACUGAAGCGCGCGGCCUAUACCCGAUGGUCAAGGCAAGAGCGGGGUCCCAAUGAGUAGGAGGGUGCGGCAGUCCCUGCAAAACCUGGGUACGAGCCCAGGUGGAGUGGCCAUAGUUGCAGAUCAUGGUGGUAGUAGCAAAUAUUCAAAUGAGUACUUUGAAGGCCGAAGAUGGGAAAGGUUCCAUGUGAACAACACUUGCAUAUGGGUUAGUCGAUCCUAAGAAAUGGGGGCAGCCCGUCUAAUAGCACGACCAGUGCAAAUUUCGAAAAGGAAUCGGGUUAAAAUUCCUGAACCAGGAUGUGGCGGCUGACGACAACAUUAAGGAGUCCAGUGAUGUCGACGGGGCCUCAGGAAGAGUUAUCUUUUCUGUUUAACAGCCUGCCCACCCUGGAAAAGGCUCAGCUCGAGGUAGGGUCUAGUGGCUGGAAGAGCACACGUCGCAUGGUGUCCAGUGCACCCCUGGUGGCUCUUGAAAAUCCUGAGGACUGAGUGCCUCCCAUGCCAGGUCAGACUCAUAACCGCAUCAGGCCUCCAAGGUGAAUAGCCUCUGGCUAAUGGAACAAUGUAGGCAAAGGAAGUUGGCAAAAUGGAUCCAUAACCUCGGAAAAAAGAUUGGCUUUGAAGGCUGGGCACAUGGGUCCCAGUCUCGAACCCAUCGCCUAUCGGUGGACUGCUCGAGCUACUUCUGCGGUAAGAGUGGGUCACCAUGUGCCGGUCGAGGGACGAACUGGGAAAAUGUCCCUUUGGGGGCCCUUCCCCGGGCAUCGAACAGUCGACUCAGGACUAGUACAGACAAGGGGAAUUUGACUGUUUAAUUAAAACAAAGCAUUGCAAUGGUCCCUGCAGAUGCUCACGCAAUGUGAUUUCUGCCCAAUGCCCUGAAUUUUAAAGUGAAGAAAUUCAACUAAGCGCAGGUAAACGGCGGGAGUAACUAUGACUCUCUUAAGGUUGCCAAAUGCCUUGUCAUCUAAUUCGUGACGCGCAUGAAUGGAUUAACGAGAUUCUCACCGUCCCUAUCUACUAUCCAGUGAAACCAUAGCCAAGGGAGCGGGCUUGGUAGAAUCCGCGGGGAAACAAGACCUUGUUGAUCUUAACUCUAGUCUGACUUUUUGAAAUAACUUGAGAAGUGUAGUAUAAGUGGGAGCCGGAAAUGGCGAAAGUGAAAUACAACUACUUUUAACAUUAGUUUACUUAUUCCAUGAAUCGGAAGCGAGGAACUGCCCCUUUUUUUGGACCCAAGGCCUGCCUCGGUGGGCCGAUCCGAGUGGAAGACAUUGUGAGGGGUGAAGUUUGGCUGGGGCAGCCCAUUUGUUAAAAGAUAACGCAGGUGUCCUAAGAUGAGCUCAACGAGAACAGAAAUCUCGUGUGGAACAAAAGGGUUAGCUCUUUUGAUUCUAAUUUCCAAUACGAAUACGAACCGUGAAAGUGUGAAUGAUACGAACCUAGGACGACCUGCUCCUAAACCCGUAUUAUAUUAGCCCAGAUCUUAAUUAAGUUCAAGUUCUAAUGGAAUUGACCUCAACCCCUAACCAACCUGUGGUUAGAAACCUCGGUAUAAUAUAGACACCACAAUAGGGGAUGGAAAACCUAUUGAUAAGUCAAGCUAAAACAGCCAAUUCUCUAAUGGUGUUUUA
rnacentral:rRNA from 1 species